UACGUAGGGCGCAAGCGUUGUCCGGAAUUAUUGGGCGUAAAGAGCUCGUAGGCGGUUUGUCGCGUCUUCCGUGAAAACUGGGGGCUUAACUUCCAGCUUGCGGUGGAUACGGGCUGACUGGAGUGCGGCAGGGGAGACUGGAAUUCCUGGUGUAGCGGUGAAAUGCGCAGAUAUCAGGAGGAACACCGGUGGCGAAGGCGGGUCUCUGGGCCGUUACUGACGCUGAGGAGCGAAAGCGUGGGGAGCGAACAGG
rnacentral:rRNA from 1 species